GUUUGAGUGAUAUAUCGUAUGUUUAAGUAUCGGAGGAUAAUUUUAAAUAUUUUAAGAAUAUUUACAGUUAAAAUUAUAAUUAUAUAAUAUACAAUACUAAUUUUUAAAGUACCGCCCCCGCAACCUAUAACAUAGUUCCGCCCCUAGGUACUUCAGAAUAUUCUCCGGUAGUUCCUCUGCCACCGUAGCUGUUGCCGAGAACCACCACCACAGGUCCACCACUGCUGCUGGGAAGCACUGUUUACAUCUCUCCAGAAUUCAGGUGAUCAUUAAUCGGUUUAUUCAUGAUGGAAGCCAAAUUUUUUCGCUUUCUUAAGAUUGUGGGUGUUGGGUACAAAGCUAGAGCUGAAGCUGAAGGAUGCCUCUUGUUUCUGAAAUUGGGAUACUCAAGGAUGCCUCUUGUUUCUGAAAUUGGGAUACAGUCAUGAGGUUGAACUGACUGUCCCUCCGGCAGUCCGUGUUUUCUGCUUCAAGAACAAUGUAGUUUGUUGCACUGGAAUCGAUAAACAGGGAGUGCACCAGUUUGCUGCUGCUGUUCGCAGCUGUAAGCCGCCAGAGGUGUACAAGGGCAAGGGUAUUAUGUAUGUUGAUGAAGUAAUCAAGAAGAAGCAAGGAAAGAAAUCAAAAUGAUUGCAAUCAGGAUAAGUUAUGUUGGAGAAUGUUUUAGAUGAAUUCAUGGAUGGACAUUCCAAGCCUCGUUUUGUCAAGAUGAGUUUGCCUGUGUGUCCAAAUCAGACAAUUCUUGCAGCAUGGUGCUUUUCAAGCUGGUAAUGAGAGCUAUGUAAUAGCUGAUCCAAUUUUAUCUGAAUCAGUUUGGGAUUUUUGCUUUAAUAAAUUGCUCCAUGAAUUUCGGUGCAAGUGUUCUCGAAGAAAAGCAAGACUGAUCUUUGAUCUUAUUGUCAUCUAGAGUAUAGAACCAACAUCUCUUUUUUAACUGGAUGAGCAGGUCAGCCUGUCUAUUGCCAAACCCACUUUAACCUCUCCAGGCUAGAGAAAUGGCUAAUUUCUAGAUGUUUUCUCCCCUCCCGUGUUAGUUAAGUUCAUUUAUUUGCAAUCUACGAGUUAACCUUUAAGGUGUGA